rfam:Trichobilharzia regenti genome assembly, scaffold: TRE_scaffold0045487
AUCCAGCUGGUGGACGAGUCCCAAAUAGGACGAAAUGCACAUCCCGAUUGGAU